GCUUCCGCUCUCCAUCACCUCUCUGCCCCAAUGCUGUUCCCGGAGGCAUAGAAGACCACCACAGCUCUGCCCUGAGACCUGCUGCAAAGAGUGUGAAGAACUGCAUACAGAAGGACCAUGCAUCAGUAACACCAACGUCAACCAGACCAGCUUGGGCUUGUAUCCGGACGUAUGGGACUAACACCUGCUCACCGCCCCACACGGAGUUUAGGUAUGAGCAGCGCUCGAAGCACCUUGGUUCUACCAUUUGGUUUUCCAUGCAUUUUACAAACAGCAAUUCAAAGAGGUUGGGUUCUUUAGUUCAAAUCUUAUAUGCCACAAUAAAGACCAAAGCCUAGGAAAAUGUCUGUGUGGAGGAUCAUUUUCACGAUGGAUUGUGAUGAACCCUUCUGCACAUCACCCCCAUGCAAUGAAGAGGAGGAAAUGAGGAGGAUGCAGGCAACUACAGGGCAGCAAGCCUCACUGUGGUGCCUGGGAAGAUUAGGGAGCAAAUCCUCCUUAACGCCACAUCCAGGCCCAUGAGGGAUAAAGUGACCAGCAACAACCACCACUAUUGUGGUAGCCCAAUCUGGUUGCCACCUGUGACGAGUCUUGUGGAUGCAGGGAGAGCAGUGGUUGUUCACCCCGACUUACAGCAAAAGCACACUUGCAGAGUGGAUGGAAACCUACAAUGGGGGUGAAAGACAGGGUGGACUGCUGUGCUCACACUUUUGUAAACAAAUGAUUUGAAAUCUAGGAGGUGGCCAGCUGCAAGUGGAGUACCUCAGGGGUUGGUACUGGAGACAAUACUGGGUUUAUGUCUUACCUACCUGUGUGAUGGGGUAGAGCGCGCCCUCAUCAAGUCUGCAGAUGACACCAAGCUGAAUGAUGGUGGGGAAGAUGGGAGCAGGACAACCCAAAACAUGGGAGAGGGCUCCCAUUCAGUUGGAUCUUGAUUGGCUGGAGUGAUGUGCUGAUGGAAAAUUUGUUAAGUUCAUCAGUCCUCCACCCAAGAUAUAAUAAAUCAAGGGAGCUGGGGCUAACAGCGGACGCAUUAGAUAGCUGCAAGGGGACACACUGCUGGCUCCUACAAAGGCCAACCCUGUACCAGGCUGCACAGUAAAACCACGGCCAACAGGUUAAAGUAAGUUAUUUUUUCCCCUGUAUUCAACACUUGUAACCUGCAUCAGGGGUAAAAUAUCCAGGUUUGGUACAAAACCAGAUACCGAAAAACCUGAAAGAAGUCCAGCUGAGGACCACCAAGAUUGUUAGAAGGCUGCAGAACAUGACAGGCCUCAAGGGAGGCUGAGCUGGAUUUGUUCAGCUUGGAAAUUAAGGCUGCAGGACCUGCAGUCUUCAACUACCUAAUGGAUGGUGACAAAAAAUAUGGAGCCAGACUCUUCAAGAGGCAACAGGCAAACUACAGCAAGUGAAUAUCUGUCUGUACAACAGACAAUUUGCAUUAAAGAUGCUACAAAACCAGAACGGGAAGCCAGAGGUUCUCGAAUGCCCAUCUUUGGAAAUACUCAAAAUGUGAUUGGACACAGCCUUCAAAAACUGGACUACUUUCAAAGUCAGCCCUGCUUUGGUCAGGAAGUUAACCCAGAUGACCUCCAGAAGCACCCCCAACCUAAAUUACAAUUCUAAAAACUGGAAAGAUCAAUGCAAGCUUCACCAUAUGGCUAACAAAACACAGAGACAUCUGUUUGUCUUGUGGUGUGUGACUGUAUUCCAAUCACUGAAGAUAAUUUUCGUAUCAUCAUCAAUUUUACCUUAAGCCCUCAUUAUCAAAUAGUCCAGGCUGCACAAGCAUUCACGUACAGAUGAUCUGUCAAAAGCAUGAAUCUUAAAAGUAAUGGUACUGAAGUUCAGGAGUGAUGUUUAUCUCUAUGCAAAUAAAGCUGCCCAAUUCCAGGCCCUGGAUCUUUAUAAGAAAAAAAGCUUGAAACCACAUGGUUUGGAUAAGAUACACAACUCAAGUCCUAGCCAUUUUUAGUUCCUUUUAACAGCUUGGGUUAUUUCUUUGACCUUUUGUGUCAGAUACAUGAAGAGAAAUAACACAAACAGUGGCUGAUAUACUUUGUAGAAUAUAGCUUUAAGAUACUGAGGGUGACAGAGCAGUGGAACAGGCUGCCCAGAGAGGUUGUGGAGUCUCCUUCCCCAGAUACAUUCAAAAUCCACCUGGACGUGGUCCUGUGCCCCCUGCUCUAGGUGUGCCUGCUCAAGCAGGGGGGUUGGACAAGAUGAUCUCCAGAGGUCCCUUCCAACCCCCACCAUUCUGUGUUUCUAUGUACCUUUCUAGAUACACGAGCUAAGAUUUUGUGUAUACUGAAAUUUUGUCCCCAAAGCACAAGAUAUUUCUCCUACAGCUGUAGCAGACGCCUAAGAAAAUUAUUUCUUUGGCUUGCUUCUUCGCAUAUGUUUUUAUAAAAAUUCAAAACCCUACAAUCUGGAGGCAACACCACAGCUGUAGCUUUAGUUUUUUCAACUACUAACUACAUAUCUACAGAUUUUCCGAAAAGUUAACAUUUAUUUGUAAGGUCAUACUAUCAGCGAUCCUUUGAGAGCAAUUAUGCUCUUAAAAAAUAAGCUUGAACAAUAAGAUGUAAAGCUAAAAAUGGUCUUCAGUUUAUGAACACCUUACCUGAAAGUAGAUGAGACAUCCAUAACUAGAAAAUGUGGCAACCUCCUUUCAACAGUGUAAUAAAGAGCGUCUCCAUGUAAUAAUACAAAAAACAGCUACUAAAAAUGUGACCUUUCGCACAUUAUUUGCACAUUUCUUUGUUGUUUACUCCUUUCUAUGCUUGUUACAAGCAGAAUGAUUGACCAUUCCAUCAUAUAGCUGUUUGUUUCCUUCUCAUUUUAACUAGUGUUACUGUUAACAUUCUCCACCACCCCUUCUACUCAGAGAAAACAGGAACAUUCAACGUAGAUUUACUAAAAGAUCACUUUUCCAGUUGAUGGUAUUUACACAUAACAACGACUUUAUCGCGACAGAGAAUGUAGGAAUGGUUAAGAGGAUAUGCUCAGUGGCUAACAGGAUAUGCUAACCAUAUUUUCCCUGCUGUGUCACGGAUUCUAGGAGUCAGGAAAGAAUACAGAACACUGGGAUUCUUUAAGAAAUCUUGUACUAGUCUACUUCUGGAACGAUUAAACAUCUGUGACAGAUAGUCUAUCCACUCCAUAUAGGGAAACAUUUAUGUAGUACCAUCUGUUAAAGCUUGAAGGAAAGUAACAUCUGUUUAAACCAGUUGACCGAAACUUAGCGUACAUUGAGAAGAAAAAACUGUAACUGAAGGCAAAAAGAGGGUACGUCUAGCUAUAGCAUAGACUCCUUCAUAAAUAAAGUAAACAAAUAAUACUCAAGUUUGCUACGGUGCCUGUUCAGCCACAUGCUUAACCACAGCUUGCUUUUGCUUUCAACACCAUCUUAGUCUUUAAGGAGCAGGAAUUAGAAGUCUGUGCCCAAUUUGCACUCUAAGCUCCCAAGACCCUGUAUCUUCUGCCCUCUGUCUUAGUUCUUUUUCUUUUGCACAUCUUCCUCUUUCCAGGUAGCAGGCACAAACAAACCAAUAAGUUCGUCUACCUGAGCUGAAUUUUUUUUGGAUGAAUAAUUCUGCCAGAUAAAUAAACUUCCAGGUAUUAGAGAACAAGAGAAGGGACACAGAACAGUCAAGACAGAACACUCUUGUUUUUGUCAAUAUUUCUUUAAAUCCCAAUCCAGCUCCUAGUAAGACUGGACACUACUUACAACACUCCUAGAACUGCAGAAGAAUGGAAACACAAUAGGGAGCGAGUGGAGAGGGGGACAAGACAGCCCAGUGGCUGGCUUCAGACAUUCACAUACAUAAAGCCAGCAUCCACUGGAGUCGUUAAGGCCCAGAUGCCCCACUAAUAGGAACAAACCCAAACACAAAGGUAGCACAUGAAAUGUAUUUACCUAUUUAAACACAGGCAGCUGGUCAGGCUAGAAUGGGGAAGGUAACUGCUAAUUCCUUGUACUACAAGGAAGGAAUGGAGUAAAAAAACCCGAGCCCACGGGCAGGUUUUUGCUUUGUGAACCUCUGUCUGUGCUGCUGGUUAACAGUGGUAAGUAUAAAAAAAUCAAAGAAAAAUAAUCUAUUUAUAGAACAAGUCAGUAGUCUGAGACAUUUAGAAAAAAGUAAAAACAA